rnacentral:misc_RNA from 1 species
UGGUAGUUUGACUGUUGCAUUGCCAUUAUGUAUGGGUCGGGGUAUCGUUGGGGAUUGAAACCAGAAUUGUGGGGUUCAUCACCUGGCCUAUCCCAAGAUCUGCUGUGGCUGAACAUGCGCAUCAUGUCAUUGCUCUUGGGACCAGGGAAGAAAUCAUAAGGUGUCUGCUGUGCACAAAACUCAGUUAGAGGGAGCUGGACCUGGAUACUUGAGACUGCUUCUCCCACAGUGGUCAUGUGAGGUGAUCCAUUUAAGCCAUAAUCA